GAUCGAGUUGAUCCUGGCUCAGGAUGAACGCUAGCGGCAGGCUUAACACAUGCAAGUCGAGGGGUAUUGGUUUUCGGACCAAGAGACCGGCGCACGGGUGCGUAACGCGUAUGCAAUCUACCUUUCACAGAGGGAUAGCCCGGAGAAAUUUGGAUUAAUACCUCAUAGUAUUAUGAUAAGGCAUCUUAUUAUAAUUAAAGUCACAACGGUGAAAGAUGAGCAUGCGUCCCAUUAGCUUGUUGGUAAGGUAAGAGCUUACCAAGGCGACGAUCAGUAUCUGGUUUGAGAGGACGAUCAGACACACUGGAACUGAGACACGGUCCAGACUCCUACGGGAGCAGCAGUGGGGAAUCUUAGACAAUGGGGCGCAAGCCCUGAUCUAGCCAUGCCGCGUGAUCGAUGAAGGCCUUAGGGGUU
rnacentral:rRNA from 1 species